rnacentral:rRNA from 1 species
AUGGGUCUUUCUUCGGACGAGUGGCUCUCCCGUUAUGACCUGGAAGACCAGCUCUCCGUGAUCUACACCGAUGAGGAGGCCUAUUGGCGCCUCCGUGGUGCCCAGAAAUGGGUCUUGAAAGGCGACGCGAAUACGGCAUACUUCCAGGCCAUCGCCAACGGUCGCCGUAGACGCAACACCAUCCCUCUCUUGUGGGAUGGUGAGACUCUCCUCCAGGACCCUCGCGACAUCCGGGCCCAGGUCGACGGUUUCUAUAGAUCCUUAUUCUCUGCCGCUCUUAGAGGUGACAUCUCUCUCGCCCCCGAUUGCUAGUCGGGUCCCCAGUUGGUGUAUGCCUUGGAGAACGCGGCCCUUAUGGCCCCCUUCUCCGAGCAUGAGGUCUGGGAUGCCAUCAAGGGCAUGAACCCAUCCUCGACGCCGGGCCCGGAUGGCCUCCCGGUUAAAUUUUUCCAGACCUUCUGGAACAUGAUUAAACCGGAGGUCAUGGCCAUCUUCGACGAGUUCUACGUUGGCUCCAUUGAUCUCGGGCGUCUCAAUUACGGGAUCAUCUCUCUCAUUCCCAAGGUCCCUGGGGCGUCCGACAUCCGCCAGUUUCGCCCGAUCACGGUUAUUAAUGUGAUCUUCCGGAUCCUGGCCAAAGGGUACGCCAAUAGGGUGACCCUGCUGGCAGACCGUGUGACUCACCCCAACCAGUCGGCCUUCAUUAAGGGCCGUUACAUUCUUGAUGGGGUCCUUGUUCUCCAUGAAGUCCUCCAUGAGGUCCGCGUCAAACACCUCAAGGCGGUUUUUCUGAAGAUUGACUUCCACAAGGCCUAUGAUACGGUUAGCUGGUCCUUCCUCCGGGAGGUCCUUCUUCGGAAGGGCUUCGACGACCGGUGGUUACUAGAGUCAUGCAAAUGGUCUCUUGCGGUCGCACGGCCGUGA